rnacentral:tRNA from 1 species
UCUAGAUCGACGGGCCCUUGAUCCCGCAAAUUUUUAAUUAACAACUAAACGCCCUAUCCAGCGGACUUCAACCUA